GCCUCGGUGGUGUAGUGGUUAGAGCACGCGUCCACGGAUAGGAUGAAGCGCGGGUUCGAAUUUCGCUUGAGGCC